rnacentral:rRNA from 1 species
CCCUUAGAUGUUCUGGGCCGCACGCGCGCUACACUGAUCAGUGCAACAAGCAUCCGUCCUUGGCCGACAGGCCCGGGCAAUCUUUGAACGCUGAUCGUGAUGGGGAUAGACUUUUGCAAUUUUUGGUCUUCAACGAGGAAUUCCUAGUAAACGCAAGUCAUCAACUUGCAUUGAUUACGUCCCCGCCCUUUGUACACACCGCCCGUCGCACCUACCGAUUGAAUGGUCCGGUGAAGCCUCCGGAUUGGCGUGCACCCUCGGGUGCUGCCGAGAAGUUGGCUAAACCUUACCAUUUAGAGGAAGGUGAAGUCGUAACA